AGUACGGCGAGUGAACCGGGAAGAGCUCAAAUUUGAAAUCUGGCAGUCUUCGAUUGUCCGAGUUGUAAUCUAUAGAAGCGUUUUCCGUGCUGAACUGUGUAUAAGUCCCUUGGAACAGGGUAUCAAAGAGGGUGACAAUCCCGUACUUUACACAAUCAUCAGUGCUCUGUGAUACGUUCUCUACGAGUCGAGUUGUUUGGGAAUGCAGCUCAAAAUGGGUGGUAAAUUCCAUCUAAAGCUAAAUAUUGGCGAGAGACCGAUAGCGAACAAGUACCGUGAGGGAAAGAUGAAAAGCACUUUGGAAAGAGAGUUAAACAGUACGUGAAAUUGUUGAAAGGGAAACGAAAUUCAUGAAUCAUGUUUAUUGGACUCAGCCGUUCUUCGGUGUACUUCCUUUAAACGGGUCAACAUCAGUUUUGUCCGAUGGAUAAAGGUAGUAGGAAGGUGGCUCUCUCGGGAGUGUUAUAGCCUAUUGCUGCAUACAUUGGAUGAGACUGAGGACUGCAGCUUGCCUUUAUGGCCGGGGUUCGCCCACGUUCAAGCUUAGGAUGUUGACAUAUUCUCGAAUCACGAC
rnacentral:rRNA from 1 species